rnacentral:rRNA from 1 species
UGCGUAGGUGGUUUUAUAAGUCAGAUGUGAAAUUCCCGGGCUUAACCUGGGGACUGCGUCUGAUACUGUGAAGCUAGAGUACUGUAGAGGAAAGUGGAAUUUCCGGUGUAGCAGUGAAAUGCGUAGAUAUCGGAAGGAACAUCAGUGGCGAAGGCGACUUUCUGGACAGAUACUGACACUGAGGCACGAAAGCGUGGGGAGCAAACAGGAUUAGAUACCCUGGUAGUCCAUGCUGUAAACGAUGAAGACUGGCUGUUGGGAACCCUUGGGUUCUUAGUAGCGAAGCUAACGCGUUAAGUCUUCCGCCUGGGGAGUACGGCCGCAAGGUUAAA